UACGAAGGGGGCUAGCGUUGUUCGGAAUUACUGGGCGUAAAGCGCACGCAGGCGGAUUGAUAAGUCGGGUGUGAAAUCUCGGGGCUUAACUCCGAAACUGCAUUCGAUACUGCCGUGCUUGAGGACUGGAGAGGAGACUGGAAUUUACGGUGUAGCGGUGAAAUGCGUAGAUAUCGUAAGGAAGACCAGUGGCGAAGGCGGGUCUCUGGACAGUUCCUGACGCUGAGGCACGAAGGCCAGGGGAGCAAACGGG
rnacentral:rRNA from 1 species